AGCAGCCGCGGUAAUUCCAGCUCCAAUAGCGUAUAUUAAAGUUGUUGCAGUUAAAAAGCUCGUAGUUGAAUUUCGGGAUCAAAGAAUCGGUCAUGCCUUGGUAUGUACUGGUUUUAUUGGUUCUCACCUUCUAAAGAACCAUGAUGUCAUUCAUUUGAUGUUAUGGGGAAUUAGGACUGUUACCUUGAAAAAUUAGAGUGUUUAAAGCAAGCUUACGCUUGAAUACAUUAGCAUGGAAUAAUGAAAUAGGACAUCAGAUUCUAUUUUGUUGGUUUCUAGGAUCGAUGUAAUGAUUAAUAGGGAUAGUUGGGGGCAUUAGUAUUCAAUUGUCAGAGGUGAAAUUCUUGGAUUUAUUGAAGACUAACUACUGCGAAAGCAUUUGCCAAGGAUGUUUUCAUUAAUCAAGAACGAAAGUUAGGGGAUCGAAGACGAUCAGAUACCGUCGUAGUC
rnacentral:rRNA from 1 species